rnacentral:rRNA from 1 species
UACGUAGGUGGCAAGCGUUGUCCGGAAUUACUGGGUGUAAAGGGCGUGUAGGCGGGGAAGCAAGUCAGAUGUGAAAUCCCGGGGCUCAACUCCGGAGUUGCAUCUGAAACUGUUUUUCUUGAGUGCUGGAGAGGAAAGCGGAAUUCCUAGUGUAGCGGUGAAAUGCGUAGAUAUUAGGAGGAACACCAGUGGCGAAGGCGGCUUUCUGGACAGUAACUGACGCUGAGGCGCGAAAGCGUGGGGAGCAAACAGGAUUAGAUACCCUGGUAGUCCACGCCGUAAACGAUGGAUACUAGGUGUAGGAGGUAUCGACCCCUUCUGUGCCGGAGUUAACACAAUAAGUAUCCCACCUGGGGAGUACGGCCGCAAGGUUGAA